UUAAGAGGGAUACUUAAGGGGUAUCCCAACCCGUAUACAGAACCAAAACUAUUACACCUAAUGGAUACUAACAGGACCAUACAUAAAAGCUUAUAAUAGGUAAACCUAGAAAUAACUACCAUCAAACCUUCCUCGGGAACCUAAGGAGAGGCAAGCAAAAAAGAAUCUACAAGAACAACCUUGGGUAUAGAUCCCAUAGGUACCUACAGUGUCACCAGGAGAUGCACAAAAGAGGACUAGAUUCUUAGCAUCAGAAGACUGAUAUGAUCUUUCCAAAAGCCUCAGGUUUAACAAGGCCAUAAAUUCAGGAUGACCCUUGCACCCACCCACCUUUAUAUACCGGCCACUUGGGGUAGAAACCAGGGGAAAUGUAUGAGUUCAUACUGUUUCCACAGACUUGAGAUAUCUACUUCAAGUGAUAUAGGCUCUUGAUAAUCCUUCAUGUCUCUUUCGAGCCCUUAGCCUCCAGAUUGUCUCCUUAACUAUGCGUAAACCACUUUACUCUGACUGCUCCCUGUUCUGCAGACCCACACCAGCACACCAACCUUUUGACAAGCAAAUCUGUGACUCAUGUGUGCUCACGAUGGUACCAUAUUAGAUACCACACUACUCCUUAACAGUUUACACCUUAAUAAACUUCUAACAACCAAAACUUCUUCCAAUUUGAAUUCUUCCAUCCAUUUUCCACUGUUGUCCAUCGUGUUGAGGGUGUGGUGACAGCUAGUAGAUAUCCUCUUACUGCUACACAUUCAAAACACCACGACUGCCUACACUUUUUGCUGGGAAUGGCAUCCUGUAUAUUCUAGCAUUCCUCCAACACUACAGACCUCUCACAGCAUGCAUAAACCCACCCUAAUGCAAUAACCAAUUGUGACUUUCUAAUGAUCCAAGCAUAAGCUUCUCAUACAAAGAAAAACCUUAAGCCAGAAAAACCAGAAUCUGCCUCACAAGCAGCACAUGUAGUUCGCACAUGUGAUACAUCUAGAGAGCUGACUAGGUGUUGUGUCUCCAUCUUCUCCACUUCCCUUCGCACCUAGCACCAGAACUCAACACCUGCAUCGACAUACACAUCAUCUCAGAUACCAUUUCCAGCAAGAGACAUAAACUGUUGCACUAAAACCCCUGCAUCUACUUCAGACCAGCCCAUUCCAUCAUACUGCAACCGUGACAUGAUAUUUCUUGACGCAUUUGGGCCCUACUUGUAGCUUCUAAUGCAUAUCAUUGGAUUAGUAACCCAGUCUACGAAGGAGUAGUGAAAGGACUGCACCUUAUGCUUCA
rnacentral:lncRNA from 1 species